UACGGGGGGGGCAAGCGUUGUUCGGAAUUACUGGGCGUAAAGGGCGCGUAGGCGGUCCGUUAAGUUAGAUGUGAAAACUCUGGGCUCAACCCAGAGCCUGCAUCUAAUACUGACGGGCUAGAGUUCUGGAGGGGGUAGCGGAAUUCCUGGUGUAGCGGUGAAAUGCGUAGAUAUCAGGAGGAACACCAGUGGCGAAGGCGGCUCACUGGACCGGUACUGACGCUGAUGCGCGAAAGCGUGGGGAGCAAACGGG
rnacentral:rRNA from 1 species